AUUGAACGCUGGCGGCAGGCCUAACACAUGCAAGUCGAACGGUAACAGGAAGCAGCUUGCUGCUUCGCUGACGAGUGGCGGACGGGUGAGUAAUGUCUGGGAAGCUGCCUGAUGGAGGGGGAUAACUACUGGAAACGGUAGCUAAUACCGCAUAAUGUCGCAAGACCAAAGAGGGGGACCUUCGGGCCUCUUGCCAUCGGAUGUGCCCAGAUGGGAUUAGCUUGUUGGUGGGGUAACGGCUCACCAAGGCGACGAUCCCUAGCUGGUCUGAGAGGAUGACCAGCCACACUGGGACUGAGACACGGUCCAGACUCCUACGGGAGGCAGCAGUGGGGAACAUUGCACAAUGGGCGCAAGCCUGAUGCAGCCAUGCCGCGUGUAUGAAGAAGGCCUUCGGGUUGUAAAGUACUUUCAGCGGGGAGGAGGGGAGUAAAGUUAAUACCUUUGCUCAUUGACGUUACCCGCAGAAGAAGCACCGGCUAACUCCGUG
rnacentral:rRNA from 1 species